rnacentral:rRNA from 1 species
UACGUAGGUGGCAAGCGUCGUCCGGAUUUACUGGGCGUAAAGAGCGCGCAGGCGGUCGUUCAAGUCGCGUGUGAAAGCCCCCGGCUCAACUGGGGAGAGUCACGCGAUACUGAUCGACUCGAAGGCAGGAGAGGGUAGUGGAAUUCCCGGUGUAGUGGUGAAAUGCGUAGAUAUCGGGAGGAACACCAGUGGCGAAGGCGACUACCUGGCCUGUUCUUGACGCUGAGGCGCGAAAGCUAGGGGAGCAAACAGG